rnacentral:rRNA from 1 species
GAAAUAGAACCUGAAACCCUGCACUUACAAGCUGUGGAAGCACAUUUCUUGUGUGACCGCGUACUUUUUGUAGAACGGGCCAACGAGUUACGUUAAGUAGCAAGGUUAAGCACUUAAGGUGUGGAGCCGUAGCGAAAGCGAGUUUUAACUGAGCGUUCAGUUACUUGACGUAGACCCGAAACCGGGCGACCUACCCAUGAGCAGGAUGAAGCGAAAGUAAAAUUUCGUGGAGGUCCGAACCCACGAGCG